GGCCUGUCCAGCAGAGACAUUUAAAGAGAGCGAUUUGAGUCCAAGAGAGGGAAGGGCAGGGAGACAAAUGAUGUUUGGAGACACUUAAGCAGUUUUCUAAAACACAGGAUUGAUGCAGUUAUUUGAAAAAGCUCAGGCAAAAUUUCCACUUGGCAGCGCAUUAUAUGUAAUCAGAUUGUUCUGCUUAACAGGUAGGAAGUGCCUUCUUGACCAUUUUUACCCAGUAAUUACCCUAUAAUUCAGUGUUAAAUCAAUGCAUUGUUUGUUUGGUCUUGGUUUUUCCAGCAGAACUCAGAACUCCAGCGCAUGUCGUACACAACCUUAUUAUCAUAACUCCCAUAUUUUGAUUCUGAUUUAUCUUUCUUGAGAUCCGCUUCUGUAAUUUGUAGUUCUCACACACCACCACCAAUUCCAAAAAGCUGCGUUCAGAUUCUGAGUCACCCGACCCUUUUCUUGUUUUCAACCAGAUGAAAGUGUUCUUCACUUCAAGUCAUGGCCCAUUCCUGAGAUUGUGCUGAAAAACACUGAUUAACGUUCGUGACUGAGCAACACUUUGAUGAAAACCCUGCUCAAUAGAAAGCUUGCAGAACCUUGUCCACUCAUCAAAACCAUCACAAGCAUCACUACUUACCUUCGGCUCAAUUCCCCGCAGUUCCUGUGCCACCCUCUCCUGCUGCCAACUCUCCACCACCAUCUGGAUUCAUCACCCCCUUCCACCAUCUUGGACAGUGUCUUUUUCCCAACGUUGUUUGUGUUCCAGUUUGUUUGGUUUCUGUCUCUAAUUAAAACUUUGUUCAUACUCGCACUUGUUUCCAGCUUCUCCUUUACCCAGUCGUCACAGUAAUUUGAUAAUACCUAGAAUAUCAAAAUCAACUGUGGGCGGCAGAUCCUUUUCUUAUUUAGCGCCUAAACUCUAGAAUAACCUACCUAACAUUGUUCGUAAGGCAGACACACUCUUGCAGUUCAAAUAUAGAUUAAAGACACAUUUCUUUAACCUGGCUUACACAUAAAAUACUAAUAUGCUUUUAAUAUCCAAAUCCGUUAAAGGAUUUUUAGGCUGCAUUAAAUAGGUGAACCGGGAACACUUUCCAUAAUGUACUUGCUACAUUGUUAGAAGAAUGGCAUCUACGCUAAUAUUAGACUGUUUCUCUCUUAUUCCGAGGUCACCGUAGCCAUCAGAUCCAGUCUGUGUCCAGAUCAGAGGGUCACUGCAGUUACCUGGAUCCAGUACGUAUCCAGCCCAGAUGGUGGAUCAGCACCUAGAAAGGACCUCUACAGCCCUGAAAGACAGCGGAGACCAGGUCAACUAGAUGAGCCCCAGAUAAGGAUCCCCUGCAAAGACCUUAUCUCAGAUGACCACCGGGACAAGACCACAGGAAACCGAUGGUUCUUCUGCACAAUCUGGCUUUGCUGCAGCCUGGAAUUGAACUGGUCUGAUCAGACGAGAACUGGCCCCCUGACUGAGUCUGGUUUCUCCCAAAGUUUUUUCUCCAUUCUGUCACAGAUGGAGUUUUGUUUCCUUGCCACUUUCGCUCUGGCUCGUUUAGUUGGGGACACUUAAUUUAGUUUUCGUUUCAUUUGCAAAUGAUUGCACUGAUACCAUUUAAACUGAACUGAGAUGAUGACACCUCUGAAUUCAAUGAUGAACUGCCUUUUACUGUCAUCUUGCAUUAUUGGCACACUUUUUUCCUAAUGAAUGUUAUUCAGUUGCUUUGACAAUCUUUUUUUUAUUUAAAGUGCUAUAUAAAUAAAGGUGACUUGACUUGACUUGACUAAACUUCAACAAACCAGCUUACCGAUACAUUUAUAAACUUAGUAUAAAUAGGUUUGGCUGGUUAGACCCUGUUAAUCCCUGCGACCAAAAUUAAAUAAAAUCAAAUUA
rnacentral:lncRNA from 1 species